CCUACGGGUGGCAGCAGUGGGGAAUAUUGGGCAAUGGGCGCAAGCCUGACCCAGCAACGCCGCGUGAAGGAAGAAGGCCCUCGGGUUGUAAACUUCUUUUAUCAGGGACGAAGCAAGUGACGGUACCUGAUGACUAAGCCACGGGUAACUACGUGCCCGCAGCCGCGGUAAUACGUAGGUGGCAAGCGUUAUCCGGAUUUGCUGGGUGUAAAGGGCGUGUAGGCGGGAAAGCAAGUUCGAUGUGAAAACCAUGGGGUCAACCUGUGGCCUGCAUUUGAAACGGUUUUUAUUGAGUACUGGAGAGGCAGGCGGAAUUCCUAGGGUAGCGGUGAAAUGCGUAGAUAUUAGGAAGAAACCCAGUGGCGAAGGCGGUCUGCUGGACAGCAACUGACGCGGGGGCGCGAAAGCGUGGGGAGCAAACAGGAUUAGAUACCCGGGUAGUC
rnacentral:rRNA from 1 species